rnacentral:rRNA from 1 species
UACAGAGGGGGCAAGCGUUGUUCGGAAUUACUGGGCGUAAAGGGCGCGUAGGCGGUGUGUCAAGUCAGGCGUGAAAGCCCCGGGCUCAACCUGGGAACCGCGCUUGAGACUGGCACGCUCGAGUUCGGGAGAGGAUGGUGGAAUUCCCAGUGUAGCGGUGAAAUGCGUAGAUAUUGGGGAGGAACACCAGUGGCGAAGGCGGCUCACUGGACCGGUACUGACGCUGAUGCGCGGAAAGCGUGGGGAGCAAACAGG